AAGCGUAACAAGGUCUCCGUUGGUGAACCAGCGGAGGGAUCAUUGCUGGAACGCGCCCCAGGCGCACCCAGAAACCCUUUGUGAACUUAUACCUUACUGUUGCCUCGGCGCAUGCCGGCCCCCCUGGGGGCCCCUCCUUCGGGAGGAGCAGGCACGCCGGCGGCCAACCUAACUCUUGUUUUUACACUGAAACUCUGAGAAUAAAACAUAAAUGAAUCAAAACUUUCAACAACGGAUCUCUUGGUUCUGGCAUCGAUGAAGAACGCAGCGAAAUGCGAUAAGUAAUGUGAAUUGCAGAAUUCAGUGAAUCAUCGAAUCUUUGAACGCACAUUGCGCCCUCUGGUAUUCCGGAGGGCAUGCCUGUUCGAGCGUCAUUUCAACCCUCAAGCCUGGCUUGGUGAUGGGGCACUGCUUUUACCCAAGAAGCAGGCCCUGAAAUUCAGUGGCGAGCUCGCCAGGACCCCGAGCGCAGUAGUUAAACCCUCGCUCUGGAAGGCCCUGGCGGUGCCCUGCCGUUAAACCCCCAACUUCUGAAAAUUGACCUCGGAUCACUAGAAU
rnacentral:rRNA from 1 species